UGUUGUGGCACAUGUGGUCAUGUACUGAUGCAAAACGUGUUUGUUUUCCUGAAUCAAAACUCGUAGCAGUGCUCGUAGUUUCUGACAUUGAAAAUUCAACAGUUGAUUUUUAAUGAGUAUUGACAUUUGACCCCUCAUCCUAAAAUGACGAGAAUAGUUGUAAUAAAUCUUCCUCCCUCGGGGUCAGCACAGAAGAAACCUUCAGUCAAAAAGGACAAGUUACAGACGUUCAACUGAAAUAUGAUAAAGAUGGGAAAUUUCGACAUUUUGGCUUUGUUGGCUUCAAGAAUGAUGAUGAAGCAGAUUCAGCCUUGAGAUAUGUAACAACACAUUUGUAGGAUCCUGUAAAAUUCUAAAUUCAGGUUGAAAGAUAUGUCAAUUCAGGAAAUAGUUCUGAAGUGAAAAAAGAAAAAAGCCCUGGAAGCUAUUCCUGUCCAACUUCUUACACAGAGAGUGAAUCCAGUAAAAGGGGACAUCAAUAAAAUACCAGUAGAUCCAGAAUUUGCAGAAUUUCAGGAAUUACAUUCACAUAUUUCAUUUAUUAAAUGUAACACAUGUUACAUUUACACUGAACAUGUGGUUUUUUUUAUUAAAUUGCCAUGAGGUUGAACUAGACUUACUAUUAAUAAUUGGGAAUUCUUCCCAAGUGAAGAUUCUUUGUAAAAUAUGUGAUAUUGAAAUAGUUCCAAGGGACUGUUUACCCAUAGUUUAACUUUAUGCCUGUAUUAUUAUGCCCAUAUUAAUAUCUUUAUUUUUUAUAAUUUUAACAGUCUCUGACUAUGAGUGUCAGCCGGUUUGUUAGAGGUGUGAACAAGUCAGCAGUUGCAUUCAGUUUGUUGGGCUGCCAUUAUUAUCCUUGAAUGUGUUGGUUAUUCUGACCAAUAUCUUUAAGCAUCCAACACGGAAACCAGAAACAAUUCACAAAAAAGUAAUUACAUGUUUAUCAAUUUCUAAUGAAGAAAGCUACAGAUUAAGUAAAUGGGAGACCAUUCAGUAGAAAAGUCUAAUAAUCCAUUGUAUUUAGGCAACAAUGAUUGCAAUGUAGAUCUCUACGAAUAAGUUUCUAAUAGGGAAGAAUUUCAAACGAACGUUAACGAAUAAGUUUCUAAAGAGAAAGAAGAAAAUAACGGCUCGAUACUAUCAAAUCAAAGAAUGACAAAACCAGAGGAGAGACGCCGCAAAUGUUACUUGUCGCACAAGUCCUGGUGAUGGUGUCGCGUUUUGAUGGGUCUCAGGUGUCGUUAAAUUACAUUCCGACUUGUAACUACACCGACUUCGCAACCAGAUUCUUCGCCAUUUCCAAUUGGAAUGAUCAGUUUAGGUAAGUCAAAGUUUACUAGACAUUUCCAUGUAAACUUUCGCUCUACCACAAAUGUCGCACUGCCCAAUGUCGGAUGUUACUUUUGCUUCUGUGUUUGUACUUUUUUUCCAGUUAAGUUUUAUACGGUGAAAAUUUAGCCACGGUUUGAUUUUGAAAAGUGAUGAGGUAUUUCCACACCAUUUGACCAAGUUUAAUCGAAAGUGAACAACUCUAAGGCAUAUAAGUGAAUCGCUGGAGUUUUGACUUUUCGUAAGAUCAAUUUUUUAAUCUACUUCAAAUUAUUUUGUGAAAGCAUGCCGAAUAUCUUUUGCCUUUCUCCACGUGAUCGCUGCCGUGUCAUGACGAUGCUUCUUUGAGAGGGUCUCUACUAUAUUGCAAGACAAAAAUUUGCUGAGAACAGGAAGUCUGAGUUGAUUAUAAUGUACUGCAUUUUUAAGAUAAAUCAAGUAGGUAAGAAUAUUGCUUACAUUUUAGUCUACGUAUAUGAGCCUAAGAGUCGUACACUCGUACGUUUCUUCAGAAUU